rnacentral:rRNA from 1 species
UAACGACUCUCGACAACGGAUAUCUUGGCUCUCGCAUCGAUGAAGAACGCAGCAAAAUGCGAUACUUGGUGUGAAUUGCAGAAUCCCGUGAAUCAUCGAGUUUUUGAACGCAAGUUGCGCCCGAAGCCUUUCGGCCGAGGGCACGUCUGCCUGGGUGUCACGC